UUGUACCUCUGGCCUUUAUAUUGAUCACCUAGGAGUGUCAAUUUUGUGUUUUUAAUAAGAAAAUUGUAAUAAAAUUUUGGGGUUUCACUUGAGGUGAGAUUUUUGUAUUUGGGUUUGUUUUUACACAGUAGAGUUUAAUCCAUGUGUUGCUUUUCUUCAAGUAUAGUUUAAAGGAGUACAAUUGGAACGUGUUUUUGGAAAAAGCAUAUUAAUGUAGCAGAAGAGACUUCAGUGCACACUUUCGAAGAAAAAGUUUCUGAGCAUUAAGUGGUAAAAGGCAAUAAUAAUUUAAAUGAUGGUAACAAGCCAAUGCUAAAAAGAAUGCAUGUUCUGUGUAUCCAGCCAUUUCACAUGAACUAACCUCGUUUAAAAGAAUACAUGUUCCAUUCACUGUGCACAUACGUGUAAUCAUUUUGACUAAAAUCAAUUGCCAUUAUCAUGCCAACUAAAUCUGCAGUAGAAUAUAUUAAUUAGUUGCCAGAUACCAUACAAAAUACUGUUUAAAAAUAAUGAUGAUUGAUUGGAUUCCAGAAAUGAAUAGACGCAAUUUGUAAUAAUUAGUUAUAAUGCCAAGAAACACUCCAGAGAGUAAAGUUAAUCUUAAUUUUUAUGUGUAGUGCUAUGGUAAAGCCUUAUGUUAUGGUAGCAAAAAACGGCAUUUUUAUGCUAAAAUAUGUUGAAACUGAGAGAUGAGCCUAAUUGCUCUUCUU
rnacentral:lncRNA from 1 species